UUGACAACCUUGAAAACUAAAUUUCUUUAUGCACAGAAGAGGUGCAGUACAGGGAGCAGCCAAUCAGAAUUUUCCCACAAUGCCUCACAAGUGUGGCUCAACUCUGGCCUAGAGGGACCACCUAGAAAUGAGAGAUUUAUACACUCUUCAUGCCUCCUUCAGUCCUCUCUUAUG
rnacentral:sRNA from 1 species